CACUCGCUCCCUCUAGUGGGGCUCCAAUUGACUUGCUGGUCCUUAAGUCAGCAUUUCCUGAAAAAAUGUUCUCUCCGUAUCAGGUCUGCCAUCCACCUUCAUCCACAUCCCACCGUGCCAUCCCAUCCCCACUCCCCCCUCCCAGUCCCAAACAUCCCCCCACCCUUAACCCCACCCCAUUAUUUCUAACUUUCUGGCCUUUUAAUUUGUCCAAUUUGGCCUUUAUUUCUUUAAUAAUUUAGGGUUCCUCCAAACCUCCGACUUGAUGGUAUAAGUCCCAAAACACGUGCUUUGCAUGCCUCCAUCCUCCAAGACCUGAUGUUGUAAGUCCCAAAGCACAUGUUCUGUAUGCCUCCGGCCUCCAAAUUAGGGUUCUUACCAUUUAGGGUUCUUUUUCUAUUCCAAUCAGGGGCAUUUAUCCUUAGGGUUAGGGUUAGGUUUAGGGCUAGGGCUAGUGUUAGGGCUAGGGUUAGGGUUAGGGUUAGCGGGUUAUGCCAAUCAUGCCAAUCUUAUGCUGUCCCUCUUUGGCUUUUUCAGGACUACUGCAGAGCCAAGGGUGGACACUUGGCCUCAGUUCACACCAAAACCAUGUCAGACUUCCUCCAUGGAUUGGCUGGUGGACAGAGGACUUGGGUUGGGGGCUACAAAGAGGGUGGUGUGUGGAAAUGGGAUGAUGGUUCCACGUUUAGUGUGAAGAAUGAUGGAGUGGCAGGCAGCAACGAUGCUAGAUGGGAAGCAGGCGAGCCCAAUAACAGGGGUGGUAAAGAAGAUUGUAUGGAGAAAACGCAUUCAGGUGGACUCAAUGAUUUGACAUGCUCUUAUUGGCGCCCAUUUCUUUGUCAGCUGUGAUGGGAUGGUCUCGGCUGUGUGACGGCUGCUCCUUCAAAGACGUCGGUGCUGAAAGAUCAGCACUCUGCCUUCAAUUCAGUUGCUUUCAUGAAUCCUGAUCAUAAUCGGCGUGCUCAUGAUCCCAAACAACCUGCGAGACACCAACUGGCAAACUAAAGCUCGUCCUGUUUGCAGUUGAGGAGCUAACACAAGCCAUCACACAGAAAAUAAUCAUUCCCGUUUUUAGUCAACAUUUUGGAGCAGCAGCUGUGUUAGCAUUGAAUCACAUUGAAAUUGGCUCAUCUUCUACAUUUCCUAGAAGCUAAAAUGAUGCACACAGCAAAUAACAAGCUGCUACCUGACAAGACGGGACAAAUAGAAACACACCUGAAACACAACAUCAGUCAUAAAUAGAAACACACCUAAAACACAACAUCAGUCAUAAAUAGAAACCACACCUGAAACACAACAUCAGUCAUAAAUAGAAACACACCUAAAAGAGAGGAAAUGAGAAACGAUUAAAACAAAGUUUGAAAUAUUUCUAAAAGCAGUAAGAGUGAAGGUGAUAUGAAUGAUGGGCUUUAAAGCUGACAUGCACGUUCUUGGUGAAAGAUGUACAAGUGGCAUCUCUGUGUGGAUUUGGCAUGUUCUCCCCGUGCGUGCGUGGCUUUUCUUCCAAAAACAUGCAUGUCAGCUUGAUGGAGACUAAAUUGUCCACAGGUGUGAAUGUGAGCGUGAAUGCUUGUGUGCCCUGCCAUUGGCUGGCCCACAGUCAGCCGAGAUAGGCUCCGGCACACCCCCGCCACUCUAGUGAAACAUUGAAGAUGUUCUGUGCGCCAACACCACAAACCUUCAGCAUAUCUGAAAACAAGGUAGAUAGGAUAGAUCCAUUUCAACAAACGGCACUAAUGUGAUUUUCCCAAAGAAUGCUGACAAGUGCUGUGGUGGUGCUUCCGUGAUGUUAAAAGGGACUGUUUGCAACCGUUGGGCGGCUCCCUUGUGGGCACGUUGAAACUUUGGAAGGUGUUGCACGCAUGACAUUGUGGGUACGUAUGCCCCGCCCCAUGUAACGCACGAGCACCAGCUAUGUUAAACUAAGUUAGCUGCAAAUGUUGCGAUCUUUGAGUGUAUAGCCUAUAGCAAGCACAAAUUGUCAAUUUUGUUGCUAAUUGGGUCAAGUCUCCAUGCUUUUAUUGAAAGCACUAUGCUAACAUGCUAGCUGCCGCUUGGCUAACCUUGAACGUUGCAAACGGUCCCUUGAUUGUUUAUGCUACUGUUUGACCUGUUUCAGUAGGGGUGUCACCAUGCACCAUCUUGGCUUCACCAGGACCAGACCAUAUUUGAAUGACUCAGAAAACUACAAAGAAAACGUCCAGAACUUGUUCAUCAGUCCAGUGAUGCUGGAAAUGCCUGCAAGGUUUCCAGUGAGUGGAAUGUGUUGCCCGGCCCACUGCCACUUCCAUCUUGUGCGUGUUCUCAUCGACAGUAGCGAUG